rnacentral:rRNA from 1 species
CCUACGGGUGGCUGCAGUGGGGAAUAUUGGGCAAUGGACGCAAGUCUGACCCAGCAACGCCGCGUGAAGGAAGAAGGCUUUCGGGUUGUAAACUUCUUUUAAGGGGGAAGAGCAGAAGACGGUACCCCUUGAAUAAGCCACGGCUAACUACGUGCCAGCAGCCGCGGUAAUACGUAGGUAGCAAGCGUUGUCCGGAUUUACUGGGUGUAGAGGGCGUGAAGCCGGGGAGACAAGUCAGAGGUGAAAUCCACGGGCUCAACCCGUGAACUGCAUUUGAAACUGUUUCCAUUGAGUGUCGGAGAGGUAAGCGGAAUUCCUGGUGGAGCGGUGAAAUGCGUAGAUAUAAGGAAGAACACCAGUGGCGAAGGCGGAUUACUGGACGAUAACUGACGGUGAGGCACGAAAGCGUGGGGAGCGAACAGGAUUAGAUACCCGAGUAGUC